GGGAGCGCAGGCUGUCAAGUCAGUCUGAAGUGAAAGCCCGGGGCUCAACCUCGGAAGUGCUUUGGAUACUGCUUGGCUUGAGUACGUCAGAGGAAAGCGGAAUUCCUGGUGUAGCGGUGAAAUGCGUAGAUAUCAGGAGGAACACCGGUGGCGAAAGCGGCUUUCUGGGACGUUACUGACGCUGAGGCUCGAAAGCGUGGGGAGCGAACGGGAUUAGAUACCCCGGUAGUCCACGCCGUAAACUUUGUGCACUAGGUGUGGGAGGCGUCGACCCCUUCCGUGCCGAAGCUAACGCAUUAAGUGCACCGCCUGGGGAGUACGGCCGCAAGGCUGAAACUCAAAGGAAUUGACGGGGGCCCGCACAAGCGGUGGAGCAUGUUCUUUAAUUCGAUGCAACGCGAAGAACCUUACCCAGGCUUGACAUCCCGCGCUACCCUUGGAAACAAGGGGUUCCCUUCGGGGACGCGGUGACAGGUGUUGCAUGGCUGUCGUCAGCUCGUGUCGUGAGAUGUUGGGUUAAGUCCCGCAACGAGCGCAACCCUUAUCCCUAGUUACCAGCGGUUCGGCCGGGCACUCUAGGGAGACUGCCGGUGAUAAACCGGAGGAAGGUGGGGAUGACGUCAAGUCAGCAUGGCCCUUAUGUCUGGGGCUAGAAACGUGCUACAAUGGCCGGUACAAAGGGCUGCGAGAUCGCGAGAUCGAGCCAAUCCCAAAAAACCGGUCUCAGUUCGGAUUGUAGUCUGCAACUCGACUGCAUGAAGCUGGAAUCGCUAGUAAUCGCGUAUCAGCCAUGACGCGGUGAUACGUUCCCGGGCCUUGUACACACCGCCCGUCACGUGACCUGAGUCGGGUGGAGCUGACGUCGCUGACCCAACCCGCAAGGGAGGGAGGCGCCUAAG
rnacentral:rRNA from 1 species